UACGAACGCUGGCGGCAGGUCUUAGGCAUGCAAGUCGAACGGGUGUAGCAAUACAUCAGUGGCGCACGAGUGAGUAACGCGUGGGAAGCUGCCCUUCACUGGGGAAUAACGUUUGGAAACGAACGCUAAUACUGCAUACGCCGGAAACGGGAAAGAUUUAUCGGUGAAGGAUGCGCCCGCGUUGGAUUAGCUUGUUGGUGGGGUAACGGCCUACCAAGGCGAUGAUCCAUAGCUGGUCUGAGAGGACGAUCAGCCACGCUGGAACUGAGACACGGUCCAGACUCCUACGGGAGGCAGCAGCUAAGAAUAUUGGGCAAUGGAGGAAACUCUGACCCAGCCAUGCCGCGUGAAUGAAGAAGGCCUUCGGGUUGUAAAGUUCUUUUAGUCGUGAAGAUGAUGACAGUAGCGACAGAAAAAGCACCGGCUAACUUCGUGCCAGCCGCCGCCGUAA
rnacentral:rRNA from 1 species